rnacentral:rRNA from 1 species
GUUGUCGUCAGCUCGUGUCGUGAGAUGUUGGGUUAAGUCCCGCAACGAGCGCAACCCUUAAGCUUAGUUGCCAUCAUUAAGUUGGGCACUCUAAGUUGACUGCCGGUGACAAACCGGAGGAAGGUGGGGAUGACGUCAAAUCAUCAUGCCCCUUAUGAUUUGGGCUACACACGUGCUACAAUGGACAAUACAAAGGGCAGCGAAACCGCGAGGUCAAGCAAAUCCCAUAAAGUUGUUCUCAGUUCGGAUUGUAGUCUGCAACUCGACUACAUGAAGCUGGAAUCGCUAGUAAUCGUAGAUCAGCAUGCUACGGUGAAUACGUUCCCGGGUCUUGUACACACCGCCCGUCACACCACGAGAGUUUGUAACACCCGAAGCCGGUGGAGUAACCUUUUAG